rnacentral:rRNA from 1 species
UCAACGGGUAACGGGGAAUUAGGGUUCUAUUCCGGAGAGGGAGCCUGAGAAACGGCUACCACAUCCAAGGAAGGCAGCAGGCGCGCAAAUUACCCAAUCCCGACACGGGGAGGUAGUGACAAUAAAUACUGAUACAGGGCUCUUUUGAGGUCUUGUACAUUUGGAACUUGCAGUAACAACUUUAAAAUCCCUUUAAACGAGGGGAAACAAUUCGGAGGGCCAAGUCUGGUGCCAGCAAGCCGCGGUAAUUCCAGCUCCAAUAGCGUAUAUUACAAGUUGUUCGCAGUUAAACAAGCUCGUAGUUGAACCCUUGGGCCUGGCUGGACGGUCCGGCCUCACCGCGUGCACUGGUCCGGCCGGGCCUUAUCCCUUCUGGGGAGC